UUAGGACGCCUGCCUGUCACGCAGGAGAUCACGAGUUCGAGUCUCGUACGGACCG
rnacentral:tRNA from 1 species